rnacentral:rRNA from 1 species
GACAGAGGGUGCAAGCGUUGUUCGGAAUUACUGGGCGUAAAGCGCGUGUAGGCGGCUCGGUAAGUCGGAUGUGAAAGCCCUGGGCUCAACCUAGGAAGUGCAUUCGAAACUGCCGAGCUGGAGUUCUGGAGAGGAAGGCGGAAUUCUCGGUGUAGAGGUGAAAUUCGUAGAUAUCGAGAGGAACACCGGUGGCGAAGGCGGCCUUCUGGACAGUGACUGACGCUGAGACGCGAAAGCGUGGGGAGCAAACAGG